rnacentral:rRNA from 1 species
CACGUAGGGGGCAAGCGUUGUCCGGAAUCAUUGGGCGUAAAGCGCGCGUAGGCGGCCCGGUAAGUCCGUUGUGAAAGUCAAAGGCUCAACCUUUGAAUGCCGACGGAUACUGCCGGGCUAGAGUACGGAAGAGGCGAGUGGAAUUCCUGGUGUAGCGGUGGAAUGCGCAGAUAUCAGGAGGAACACCUAUAGCGAAGGCAGCUCGCUGGGACGUUACUGACGCUGAGGCGCGAAAGCGUGGGGAGCGAACAGG